rnacentral:rRNA from 1 species
AUGUUGUAUAUCAAAUCAGAGUGGGACAGAGAAGUGGAAAUUGAAAUCAUAGAAGGCGAGGAAGACCUCAACCCUGAUCCAUAUGAUCUCAUCUACAGCAACAUACCAACAAGCACAAACAUGCUCGAAAAAGAAGAAGAUUGCGAUUUCUGCCAUGCAACCAAAUUCAAGUAUGAAAGUCCGGGAUUAUGCUGCAAAAAAGGACAGAUAAGGCUAGCCAAUCCAAAUACACCACCGGAACUUAUGAGGCUUUGGACAAGCAACGACUCUGAGCAAGACAUUUUCGGCAAAAUAUAA